UACAGAGGGUGCAAGCGUUGUUCGGAAUUAUUGGGCGUAAAGGGCGCGUAGGCGGUGCUGCAAGUCUGUAGUGAAAUCUCUGGGCUCAACUUAGAGUCUGCUAUAGAAACUGCAGUGCUGGAGUGUGGGAGAGGUGAGUGGAAUUCCGAGUGUAGAGGUGAAAUUCGUAGAUAUUCGGAGGAACACCAGUGGCGAAGGCGGCUCACUGGUCCAUUACUGACGCUGAGGUGCGAAAGCGUGGGGAGCAAACAGG
rnacentral:rRNA from 1 species